GGCGGUUGUUUAAGUUGGAUGUGAAAGCCCCGGGCUCAACCUGGGAAUUGCAUUCAGAACUGGACAACUAGAGUGUGUGAGAGGGGGGUAGAAUUCCAAGUGUAGCGGUGAAAUGCGUAGAGAUUUGGAGGAAUACCAGUGGCGAAGGCGGCCCCCUGGCACAACACUGACGCUCAGGUGCGAAAGCGUGGGGAGCAAACAGGAUUAGAUACCCUGGUAGUCCACGCCGUAAACGAUGUCUACUAGCUGUUCGUGUCCUUGUGACGUGAGUAGCGCAGCUAACGCAUUAAGUAGACCGCCUGGGGAGUACGGUCGCAAGAUUAAAACUCAAAUGAAUUGACGGGGGCCCGCACAAGCGGUGGAGCAUGUGGUUUAAUUCGACGCAACGCGAAGAACCUUACCUACUCUUGACAUCCAGAGAAGACUGCAGAGAUGCGGUUGUGCCUUCGGGAACUCUGAGACAGGUGCUGCAUGGCUGUCGUCAGCUCGUGUUGUGAAAUGUUGGGUUAAGUCCCGCAACGAGCGCAACCCUUAUCCUUAGUUGCCAGCGAUUCGGUCGGGAACUCUAGGGAGACUGCCGGUGAUAAACCGGAGGAAGGUGGGGACGACGUCAAGUCAUCAUGGCCCUUACGAGUAGGGCUACACACGUGCUACAAUGGUAUGUACAGAGGGAGGCAAGCUGGCGACAGUGAGCGGAUCUCUUAAAGCAUACCGUAGUCCGGAUCGCAGUCUGCAACUCGACUGCGUGAAG
rnacentral:rRNA from 1 species